UAGGGUGUAGCUCAGUGGCAGAGCACUCACCUAGCACGUUUGAGGGCCUGGGUUCCAUCCCCAGUACCCAAA
rfam:Heterocephalus glaber contig37530, whole genome shotgun sequence.